AUUGAACGCUGGCGGCAUGCCUAACACAUGCAAGUCGAACGAGAGCGGGGCAACUCGCUCUAGUGGCGGACGGGUGAGCAAUGCGUAGGAACCUGCCCUGAAGUGGGGGAUAGCCCGGCGAAAGCCGGAUUAAUACCGCAUGAUCUCGAAAGAGCAAAGUGGGGGAUCGCAAGACCUCACGCUUUUGGAGGGGCCUACGUCGGAUUAGCUAGUUGGUGGGGUAACGGCCCACCAAGGCGACGAUCCGUAGCUGGUCUGAGAGGAUGAUCAGCCACAC
rnacentral:rRNA from 1 species